CUCACCAUGGAGUGGAGCUGGAUCAUUCUCUUCCUAGUGGCAGCAGCUACAGGUGUCCAUUCCCAGGUUCAGCUGCAGCAGUCUGGAGCUGUGGUGGGGAGACCUGGGGCCUCAGUGAAGUUGUCCUGCAAGGCUUCUGGCUACACCUUCACCAGCUACUAUAUGAGCUGGGUGAAGCAGAGGCCUGGAGAGGGGCUGGAGUGGAUUGGAAGGAUUGAUCCUGAAGAUGGUGGUACUAGGUACAAUCAGAAGUUCCAGGGCAAGGCUACACUGACUGCAGACACAACCUCCAACACAGCCUACAUGCAGCUCAACAGUCUGACAUCGGAGGACUCUGCGGUCUAUUACUGUACGAGACACAGUGUUGCAACCACAUCCUGA